rnacentral:rRNA from 1 species
AUUGAACGCUGGCGGCAGGCCUAACACAUGCAAGUCGAACGAGUGGCGGACGGGUGAGUAAUGUCUGGGAAACUGCCUGAUGGAGGGGGAUAACUACUGGAAACGGUAGCUAAUACCGCAUACCAUCAGAUGUGCCCAGAUGGGAUUAGCUAGUAGGGGGGGUAAAGGCGCACCUAGGCGACGAUCCCUAGCUGGUCUGAGAGGAUGACCAGCCACACUGGAACUGAGACACGGUCCAGACUCCUACGGGAGGCAGCAGUGGGGAAUAUUGCACAAUGGGCGCAAGCCUGAUGCAGCCAUGCCGCGUGUAUGAAGAAGGCCUUCGGGUUGUAAAGCACUUUCAGCGAGGAGGCGUUACUCGCAGAAGAAGCACCGGCUAACUCCGUGCCAGCCGCCGCGGUAAUAC